rnacentral:rRNA from 1 species
CUGGCCUUGACAUGCAGAGAACUUUCCAGAGAUGGAUUGGUGCCUUCGGGAACUCUGACACAGGUGCUGCAUGGCUGUCGUCAGCUCGUGUUGUGAGAUGUUGGGUUAAGUCCCGUAACGAGCGCAACCCUUAUCCUUAGUUGCUACCAUUUAGUUGGGCACUCUAAGGAGACUGCCGGUGACAAACCGGAGGAAGGUGGGGAUGACGUCAAGUCAUCAUGGCCCUUACGGCCAGGGCUACACACGUGCUACAAUGGUCGGUACAGAGGGUUGCCAAGCCGCGAGGUGGAGCUAAUCCCAUAAAACCGAUCGUAGUCCGGAUUGGAGUCUGCAACUCGACUCCAUGAAGUCGGAAUCGCUAGUAAUCGUGGAUCAGAAUGCCACGGUGAAUACGUUCCC